ACAUGCAAGUCGAACGGAAGUCGUUGUAAUGAAAUAGAAACGGACAGAGAACUUGUUCGAAGAAAGUGGAAGUAGACUUACAACAAUGGCUUUAGUGGCGGACUGGUGAGUAACGCGUAAGGAACCUGCCUUCUAGAGGGGAAUAACAAUGAGAAAUCAUUGCUAAUACCGCAUAUGCCGAGAGAAUCACAUGGUACAAUCGGGAAAAGAGUAAUCUGCUAGAAGAUGGCCUUGCGUCUGAUUAGAUAGUUGGUGGGGUAACGGCCUACCAAGUCGACGAUCAGUAGCCGGACUGAGAGGUUGAACGGCCACAUUGGGACUGAGAUACGGCCCAGACUCCUACGGGAGGCAGCAGUCGGGAAUAUUGCGCAAUGGAGGAAACUCUGACGCAGUGACGCCGCGUAUAGGAAGAAGGUUUUCGGAUUGUAAACUAUUGUCGUUAGGGAAGAGAAAGGACAGUACCUAAGGAGGAAGCUCCGGCUAACUACGUGCCAGCAGCCGCGGUAAUACGUAGGGAGCGAGCGUUAUCCGGAAUUAUUGGGUGUAAAGGGUGCGUAGACGGGAAGAUAAGUUAGUUGUGAAAUCCCUCGGCUUAACUGAGGAACUGCAACUAAAACUGUUUUUCUUGAGUGCAGGAGAGGUAAGUGGAAUUCCUAGUGUAGCGG
rnacentral:rRNA from 1 species